rnacentral:lncRNA from 1 species
UGUGGGGGAGGGCAGAAUGGGCUGGAAAGGGAAACCAGAUAGGUCCCUAUUUAUUCUUUUGGAGUGUCUUUGUUCAAGGCAGGAAGAACAAAGAACACCUCAGGCCAGCCCUCCAGGUAUACCUGAUCUCCUCCUCUGGGCUCCAGGGACAGAGUUCAAAAGCUAGAGUGCCCCACUCCCAACCCAACUGCCAGCCACAUCCACGAACCGGAAGACAGGAGCUCUCUGACCAAAGUGGAGUCUGCAGUCCACUGGCUGGCAUUCCCACCAGACUGACUACCAAUCCCCGUGGACUCUCAGCCUCUUCACCAAGGCAUGUGGUUGCUCCCUGCUGCCCCACCUA